CAAUAGCGUAUAUUAAAGUUGUUGCAGUUAAAAAGCUCGUAGUUGGAUUUCUGGUUGAAGCGACCGGUCGGGCGUUGAUUCGUCUGCACUGGAGUCGGUUUUGGCCAUCCUCUAGGAAAGUGCGUCUGGUAUUAAGUUAUCGGGCGUAUGAUCCUGGUCUUUUACUGUGAAAAAAUUAGAGUGUUUAAAGCAGGCCUUCGCCUUGAAUACAUUAGCAUGGAAUAAUAAGAUAGGACUUUGGUCUAUUUUGUUGGUUUGCAGACCGAAGUAAUGAUUAAUAGGGAUAGUUGGUGGUAUUUAUAUUCCGAUGUCAGAGGUGAAAUUCUUAGAUUUUCGGAAGAUAAACUUAUGCGAAAGCAUUUACCAAGGAUGUUUUCAUUAA
rnacentral:rRNA from 1 species